UACGUAGGGAGCGAGCGUUGUUCGGAGUUACUGGGCGUAAAGCGUGCGCAGGCGGUUUGUUAAGUCCGUUGUGAAAGCCCCGAGCUCAACUUGGGAAUUGCAGUGGAUACUGGCAGGCUGGAGUACGGUAGAGGAAGGUGGAAUUCCCGGUGUAGCAGUGAAAUGCGUAGAUAUCGGGAGGAACACCAGUGGCGAAGGCGGCCUUCUGGACCAGUACUGACGCUCAUGCACGAAAGCGUGGGGAGCAAACAGG
rnacentral:rRNA from 1 species